CCAGCAUUAUGAAAGUGA
rnacentral:misc_RNA from 1 species